GGCGCGCUGGCUGCGAGCUGCUGCUCCCCGAUCCAGGCCUAGAGGCUAACUCCCGUUUUCUGGCUUGGAAAGGUUGAAGGAGCAAUGACAGGUGUCCUGGGGCUCGAAUGACUGGCCGAGGCGGCAGAAGCUGGCCCGGUCGCUGUAGACUCUUGGACGCAGUAGCAGCGCUCGCUCAGGUUUGUCCACUACUAGCGGGGACCCUCUAGCAGAGGAGCAACAGAGAGGUAUCCCUGAUAGAGGACUCUCAGUCAGGUUCCUCUACCCUGCUGUGGAGGCAUGGAGCUGGCCCUGGUCGCCUUCUGGAAUGACCGCUUCACUGCGGCGGCUGCCGGCUUGGCACUGUUCCAGAGUCUUCGCUGGCCUGGCAGCCUUGGAGGAAGAACUGUGCCAGGUCCCACAGACCUAGGGGUGCCUGCAAGGGGGCGGGAGAGUUGGAAACGGUGCCUUUUGGGUUAUCUUUUCAUAUUCGAAUUCUUGCAAGUCCCUCUUACCCUAGAGAAGGGAGGAAGGGGUCUGAAUUCACAAGCCCAUGGUCCACGCCCUGACCCAGAUAAUCCUUUUUGUCUUCUGGUCUCUGUCUCGGUUUCCCUCACCUCAAUGAGGAAAAGUUAAUACUAACGGAUGUGGGAGUCUACAGCCUGUCUCCCAGAAACCUAUUACUCUCUCUAAUGCUUGAAAGCUGCCUUCCCUACCCACCCCUCAACUCUCUCACGGGGCAACGGCCUCAGGUUACUGAAAGCCUAAGUCUCCCACACAGAAAGGUGCCAGGAGCCCUAGCCUCCAUCCUUUCUAAUCCCAACUUCUCCCUGGGUCUUCUGGACUCUUAGAUUCAAAAAGGCUCUAGCACCAGAGCUUCAGGAAGGGUUUCACCCUUGGCUGGGACUCUCACCAGGGAGGGGUCUGUCACCCCACAGGGAACAAACAGCCUUUCUGCCGCUGCUGGAGAGAGGGAGGAGGGUUGAGGCAGCAAACCCCAGAGAUGGCCAGGUGACUUGAGAGGAUGCUCUGGGCUGUGUUCUGAUGACUCAGAUGACUGGCAAAUCACAUCUACCUCAUCACUCAAAUCUCAUUGACCCUCCUCCCUGGCCAUUAGCCUCCAGACAGAGCCAUGCCGACUGGCCUCAGGCUUGGGCUCUUGAUGGGAGAGAGGAAGAGGGCCCUGCCUCCUCUGCCCUCCAGAGUGAACUGAGGAGCACUGGCCCCUGGCCCCUGGCCCAGAGCAAAAUAGGAAGAAAA
rnacentral:lncRNA from 1 species